GAUGAACGCUGGCGGCGUGCCUAACACAUGCAAGUCGAGCGAACCCUUCGGGGUGAGCGGCGGACGGGUGAGUAACGCGUGGGUAACCUGCCCUAUACACACGGAUAACGUACCGAAAGGUACGCUAAUACGGGAUAAAGUUGUUGGAUGGCAUCUUCUAACAAUCAACGCUCCGGCGGUAUAGGAUGGACUCGCGUCUGAUUAGCUAGUUGGUGAGGUAAUGGCGCAACAAGGCUACUAUCAGUAGCCGACCUGAGAGGGUGAUCGGCCACACUCGUACUGAGACACGGUCCAACCUCAUACGGGGGGCAGAAGUGGGGAAUAUUGAAAAAUGGGCGCAAGCCUGAUGCAGCAACGCCGCGUGAGCGAUGAAGGUCUUCAGAUCGUAAAGCUCUGUCCUCAAGGAAGAUAAUGACGGUACUUGAGGAGGAAGCCCCGGCUAACUACGUGCCAGCAGCCGCCGUAA
rnacentral:rRNA from 1 species